GGUGGUCCUAGUGUUGCCACGGUUACCACAGCAAUGCUCAGAUCUUGUGAGAGUGAACUCACACUGCAGGCUAGAGUUCUCUCUCACAAGAUCUGAGUGUUGCUGUGGUAACCGUGG